GGAUGUCAUCUUGCUUUCUCAUUGAUGUGAAUUUAUAACACAAGAGCACAAGCUUGAGUCUCUUCGAUGAGAGGAUAAGUUUACAAGAUAGGAUACGCCAUUAAUUUACAAGAUGAAUACAAACUGAAAUUACAGAUGAGAUUCAUGGCUUGAUAAAUUCUAGCUUUCAUGUUCCAAGUGUCAAUCUUGAUUACCUACAGGUUCCGCUCCUCUUCUUGUUGUGCUGAUUGAGUCGGCUUUUGAUCUUGAUUAAGUUUAU
rnacentral:lncRNA from 1 species